AAUAGAGAGAAAAAACUCAAAAAUCACAAGUUCCCGAAUCCUAUGCCAACAACAAGAAGGGAGACCUCAGUGAAGCAGAUCUGCACUUACUGGCCAGGAUCCUUUCAGUUGGACUGGUGGAUGCAGAUCCAAAUUACCUCCACCAUCUUAAAGGCUACAGGGACUUAAGGGGUGUAUGACGGACACCUGCUGUUGGUGGAGAUAUUGACAGAAUGGGGAAUACAUUAUCCUAUUUAUUAUGAUGCUGACGGGCCAAAGAUGCCCCCACAUGAAUUACCCUGCAUUGGUAUUCAAUGGUUAAAAUGCCACAUGUGAAAUCCACCACUGCAUGGAGUAACAAUUUGUGUGAAAAAGUAAAGCAUAGACACAGGAUGUCGCUAACGCUUGCUUUAAUAGGAUAUAACACUUCUCAGGUUAUCUUAUAAUGUUUAACACAGCAAUGCUAACAUUUGUUGACAGAUGUUUAGCAACUUGUUUUCCAAUGGUCUGUGUAAAGAACAGGAAGUAUUUUCUUUUUACAUUUGACUUGAGAGUUUGGGUUUUUUUGCAAAUGAAAAGCAAUGGAAUCUUGAUGACUUUCAUUUGCUAGUGCGGAUUUAUGGUUUUCUUCCACAUACGGUUGUUGAGUUUGUGUCCCAGAAGGUAGAGCAAUGUCACCACUGACAUGUUAAAACAGAAAAAAAACACCAGACCAACACUGCUGAAGUGCCCAAGAAGGGGAUACACCCAAAUCCCGACUGAGAAGUACACCCAAAGAAUCCUGCAGAAGAAAGAGAUUUCAACAUCACUGCAUGUUCCAGAUUCAUUUACAAUAUUUUGUUUCAAAUGUGAGGUACGCCAAUACCACAACUACUUAUUAAUGCAUAUUUUGUGUAACACAGCACCACCGUCUCAAGUGUUAAACAGCUGAAGUCUGCCUAUGGAUUGGUCAUAGAUGGUGGACCCAAAGAAUAACGUCUUCUGUGUAUUAAAGCUGUGGGAAUCACAAAAUAGUUCUUUGUUGUUGUUGUUUUACCCUAGUGUAUGUCUGGGGUGCACAAACUUUUUCCACUGUGGGUACAGUGAAAAAUGAAAGAAUGCAGUGUUUACAUGAUUUCAUAAACCAACCAAUGUGCUGUAGAUAUAUGCCCAGACACCUGAAGCUGUGUGUUACACAAUAGAUGAUAAAUUGUAUUGUUGAUAUGG